rnacentral:rRNA from 1 species
GACGUAGGAGGCGAGCGUUAUCCGGAUUCACUGGGCGUAAAGCGCAUGUAGGCGGUUGGACAAGUCGUGUGUUAAAGCCCCUGGCUCAACUGGGGGAGGUCAUGCGAGACUGUGCGACUUGAGGGCAAGAGAGGCACGUGGAACUCCCGGUGUAGCGGUGGAAUGCGUAGAGAUCCGGAAGAACACCGGGUGGCGAAGGCGGCCUGCUGGGCAGUGGCUGACACUGAGGCGCGACAGCGUGGG